CCCUGCUCCAGCCACAGAUCAGGAAACGAGGUAGGUGGGGAGCAGGGCCAUCCCGGUGCCUGUGCCUCAGUGUCCCGAGUGGAGCCCGGCCGCGUGGGAACCGUUCGCCCCACGAUUUACUGUUUGGGGGUCGAGGGCUACCGUCCCGGGGAGUCAGAGAGGCUUGGCUUGCCCGUCCCUGCGCAACUCCGGGGGCGCCACCGACGUGAUGCCCCAGAGCUAAGCCGCGCGGCAGGCUUGACCGGAGCCAGGCCCCCAAAGCCCGGGCUUUGUAGCGCAGCCACGGGCGCGGCGUUUGCCCGCGGCCCGCCUGCUCCAGAUGCCAGGAAAAGCCGCUCUGUGUGCUGGGGGUCGUGGGGACCACCCUCGGGUUCAGGGGUUUGCUAGAAGCGCCCACAGAAUUCAGCAAAGCUGUCUCGCUUCCGGUUAUGGUUUGAUGCGGUGGAGGGAUGAGUACGGGUGAGAACGGGCAUAAGGAAUGUGAUGCCCGGGCCCGGAGAGGCCGGAGGUGAGCCUCCCGGUGCGGUCUCCCGGGGGCUUAUCCAGGCAGCCCUUAGCUCGCCCGGCAGUGUCCCCAACCAGGGACGCUACGCCCACGUCCAGGGUAUUUCCCGGGGGCGGUCCCUUACGCUUGGCUAACCACUCCCGUGGCUGAGCUCGGUCUCCGCCGUCCCGAGGUCCCGCCGAUACCCCCACCCUACAUCCCGCUGUUAGCACACGACCCACGGUCCCCAGGGAAACAAAGACACUCUUACCAGACGGCGCACUCCGAGCGCUGGGGCUCCGGUAAGCACCCGACUUCGGCUCAGGUCAUGAUCUCGAGGUCUGUGAGUUCGAGACCCGCACCGGGCUCUGUGCUGACGGCUCGGAGCCUGGAGCCUGCUUCCGAUUCUGUGUCUCCCUCCCUCUCCCUGCCCCUCCCCGGCUCACUCUGUACCUCUCUCUCUCUCUCUCUCUCUCACUCCAAAAUAAAUAAGCAUUAAAAAAAAUUCGUAGUCUAAACGGUCUUGGACCGGUACUGCCCCGGGCACACCGAGUGGAGGCAAGUUCUCGGUGCCUUUCUGACAAGAUCGUCUCAAUCCGUGUCUUCUGGGGGUGAGUUUCACCCACAGACACAGAACGCACAAGGAAGUCCCGCACCACGAGCGAAAGCCAGCAGAUUCGAGAAAAAGCAGAGUUAGACCCUCCCCUGAAUCCUCAGGUAGGGAUGAUGAAUCAGAAGUGUUUAAGAUUAUGAAAGACCCCAAAGAAGAAAUUGUAGGAAGCUACUGGGUGGACGCGCGGACAGAUGGGUGAAUAGGUGGGCGGAGGGAGGGACAGAAGGACGGGUGGCUGGGUUGAAGCUUCCCUCUGGUCCGACUGGUGACGUCGGCCCGGGGCCCAUUCUCCUGAGGCACCGAUUGAGGGGUCCCCUUUGGAAGCACACCUGGAAGGUGGGUGGCAGGCGGCAGACCUUGAUGGGCUGGUCCCGCUCUUGCUGCCGAGGGCCCCCAAAGCCGGGUCGGAUCGUGCCGUCCACACAUAGCACGCGUUCCCCGCAUUCUUUCUGUCUUUUUUAAGGAUAAUCGCGUAUUUUAUUUUUAUUUAUGUAUUUGUUUUAACGCUUAUUUGUUUUUGAGAGACAGAGCACAAGUGAGGGAAGGGCAGGGAGAGAGAGAGGGAGACACAGAAUCGGAAGCAGGCUCCAGGCUCCGAGCCGUCAGCCCAGAGCCCGACGCGGGGCUCGAACCCACGGACCGCGAGGUCAUGACCUGAACCGGAGUCGGUUGCUUAACCGACUGAGCCACCCAGGCACCGCCCCCCACGCCCCCACUGCUGCCCGAGUUCUUUAAAAACAGUAACAACAGCCUGGCCUGUGUUUAUCCCUCUCUAGCAUGUCCUGAGGUGACGAGACUACAGAGAAGGACAAGACAGAAGAUUCCAGAUGGCAAGAAACCUCUGUCAGACGCCCUCUGGUCCUGGACCUCCUCCCCGCCUUGUCCUGACGCCCCUGUCUUUGGAGGGGGCCAGUCCCCGCCAUCCAUCUCUGAAACCCAGCAUCCUUUUGAGCUGCUUGAAAACGUUUUUGUUUCGUUUUGUUUUCAAACAACGCGGUAUGUUCCAGAAAAGGACCUGGUUCUCAGCCCUCCACACUCACGAGCUCGCGGCCGAGAAGAGGAAGACGGCCCAGGGCGUGGCCCGUGUGCCCUCGACGGCUUCAGAGACCCCCUCCUCGCCCUCACCACCACCAUCACUGCACAAAGUCCUGGUUCAAGACCCUUCUCUGGUUUGUCACCUGGCCCACCCCGGAGCCACGGAUGCCCGCCAGCUCCUUGGCCGGAUCUGGACUCGUUCUUGUGCCUUUUCUCCUAGAACACCCCCUGCGGCCCUGGGCACGUGGCCCGGGAAGCUCAGCACCCCCAGCAGCGCUGUGCCCCGGGGACCUCCCGGCCCGGCCCCUCAUGGCUUUACAUUUGACCAGCUCCCCUCGCCUUCAUCUCCCAAUCUUCUUUGGGAUUAAUGGAGUCCACGAUGGCACACGCGAGCUGCUGAGAAUCACCCCCGCCCCGCAGUUGCAAACCCGCCCCCCCUUCUAGAACAUUCUCAAGCCCCUUUAAUGGACGCCACACCACAGGGCAAUCCUGAUCAAUACCUCUUACUGAGGGAAUGAAGUGUCCCCGCUUUCCUGACCCCCCCCCUCCAACACAGGGUUGGGAUGAGCCCCUUGGGUUCCCGCCAUGGGAAACCGGCUCUGAACCGCGAUACAGGAAGAUACAGGUUUAUUGCAGGUUUUGAGUGUUUUGAAGUUCACUUGGGAAAAUAAAUCCCAGUGGCCUGGAUGCUACGGAGACCUGCGGUCAAAGGAGGUAAAUAUACCUUGGACAGAAGUCAGACUUUUCUAACGUGGUCCGCGCGCCCGUCAGGGUGGCCUUUGGAGGUAGUGAGUUCCCCGUCCGUGGAGGCAUUUAAGAAAAGGCUGGAAAGUGCUUACAGAAUGUGGUCCUCUGCGGUCCCCUCCGAUCCUCAGAGUUUCUAUUUCUAUGAAUCUGAGCAAAAGUUGAGCGGGUACCUCCUCCAGGCCCCUCUUCCCGGCCCCGUCGCUGGCUUCUUAACGGUCUAGUUCAAGUGCCCUGGGUAUGAGGUUCUCGGCCUCAGGGGAGAUGCCGGAGGCUUCUCGACCUGGGCGCAUCGAGGUGUUUUGGGUUAUUCUGAUGCCGGGAGGGAGCUGGUGGUGUUUGGUGCUGAGGGAAGGGAACGCCCGACAUUUUGCCCCGUGGGGGAGGCUCCUGAAGGUCCUGAACGUCACGGAGCCAUCCCGCGUCCGAGGCCGGAGGCUCCGCCUCGAAAAACGCGCGGUCUGGGAGCCGAGUUGGGCCCCGCAUCUUCUGGGUCGGCGCAGCUCUGCCCCAGGAAGGCUGGGACGCCUCGGGGGGGGGGGG
rnacentral:lncRNA from 1 species